rnacentral:rRNA from 1 species
AGUGAACGCUGGCGGUAGGCCUAACACAUGCAAGUCGAACGGCAGCACAGAGGAGCUUGCUCCUUGGGUGGCGAGUGGCGGACGGGUGAGGAAUACAUCGGAAUCUACUCUGUCGUGGGGGAUAACGUAGGGAAACUUACGCUAAUACCGCAUACGACCUACGGGUGAAAGCAGGGGACCUUCGGGCCUUGCGCGAUUGAAUGAGCCGAUGUCGGAUUAGCUAGUUGGCGGGGUAAAGGCCCACCAAGGCGACGAUCCGUAGCUGGUCUGAGAGAAUGAUCAGCACCCCUGGAACUGGGCCACGGUCCAGACUCCUACGGGAGGCAGCAGUGGGGAAUCUUGCGCAAUGGGCGGAAGCCUGACGCAGCGACGCCGCGUACGGGAAGAAGGCCUUCGGGUUGUAAACCGUUUUCAGGAGGGACGAAGCCACUCGGGUUAACAGCCCAGAGGGUGACGGUACCUCCAGAAGAAGCCCCGGCUAACUACGUGCCAGCAGCCGCCGUAA